GUGAGGUAAUGGCUCACCAAGGCUUCGACGGGUAGCCGGCCUGAGAGGGCGACCGGCCACAUUGGGACUGAGAUACGGCCCAAACUCCUACGGGAGGCAGCAGUGGGGAAUAUUGCACAAUGGGCGAAAGCCUGAUGCAGCAACGCCGCGUGCGGGAUGACGGCCUUCGGGUUGUAAACCGCUUUCAUCCAUGACGAAGCUUUUUGUGACGGUAGUGGGAGAAGAAGCACCGGCUAACUACGUGCCAGCAGCCGCGGUGAUACGUAGGGUGCGAGCGUUGUCCGGAAUUAUUGGGCGUAAAGAGCUUGUAGGCGGUUUGUUACGUCGGGAGUGAAAACUCAGGGCUUAACCCUGAGCCUGCUUCCGAUACGGGCAGACUUGAGGAAGGUAGGGGAGAAUGGAAUUCCUGGUGGAGCGGUGGAAUGCGCAGAUAUCAGGAGGAACACCAGUGGCGAAGGCGGUUCUCUGGACCUUUCCUGACGCUGAGAAGCGAAAGCGUGGGGAGCAAACAGGCUUAGAUACCCUGGUAGUCCACGCCGUAAACGGUGGGUACUAGGUGUGGGGGACAUUCCACGUUCUCCGUGCCGCAGCUAACGCAUUAAGUA
rnacentral:rRNA from 1 species